AAUGAACGUUGGCGGCGUGGAUUAGGCAUGCAAGUCGCGCGAUUUCCUUCGGGGAAGAGCGGCGGAAGGGAGAGUAACGCGUAGAUACCUACCCUCGGGACCGGAAUAGCGACGGGAAACUGUCGGUAAUGCCGGAUAACGUCCCUGGACCAAAGGUGUGAAUCCGCCUGAGGAGGGGUCUGCGUCCUAUUAGCUAGUCGGCGGGGUAACGGCCCACCGAGGCGAAGAUGGGUACCGGGCGUGAGAGCGUGACCCGGCUCACUGGGACUGAGACACUGCCCAGACACCUGCGGGUGGCUGCAGUCGAGAAUCUUCGGCAAUGAGCGCAAGCUUGACCGGGCGACGCCGCGUGCGGGAUGAAGGCUUUCGGGUUGUAAACCGCUGUCAGUGGGGAGGAAAUUCUUGGGGGAACUCCCCCUUGAUUGACCGAUCCGCAGAGGAAGGACGGGCUAAGUUCGUGCCAGCCGCCGCAGUAACAC
rnacentral:rRNA from 1 species